rnacentral:rRNA from 1 species
GACGAACGCUGGCGGCGUGCUUAACACAUGCAAGUCGAACGAAGAGCGAUGGAAGCUUGCUUCUAUCAAUCUUAGUGGCGAACGGGUGAGUAACGCGUAAUCAACCUGCCCUUCAGAGGGGGACAACAGUUGGAAACGACUGCUAAUACCGCAUACGAUCUAAUCUCGGCAUCGAGGAUAGAUGAAAGGUGGCCUCUACAUGUAAGCUAUCACUGAAGGAGGGGAUUGCGUCUGAUUAGCUAGUUGGAGGGGUAACGGCCCACCAAGGCGAUGAUCAGUAGCCGGUCUGAGAGGAUGAACGGCCACAUUGGGACUGAGACACGGCCCAGACUCCUACGGGAGGCAGCAGUGGGGAAUCUUCCGCAAUGGACGAAAGUCUGACGGAGCAACGCCGCGGGAGUGAUGACGGCCUUCGGGUUGUAAAGCUCUGUUAAUCGGGACGAAAGGCCUUCUUGCGAAUAGGGAGAAGGAUUGACGGUACCGGAAGAGAAAGCCACGGCUAACUACGUG